rnacentral:tRNA from 1 species
UUCCCUGUGGUCUAAUGGUCAGGAUACAUAGCUUUCACCUAUGAGGUCGGGGUUCAAUUCCUCGCAGGGAAG